AUGGCACUGUGGUUAUUUUUCCUUCUCAUUGAAACAGCUUCCACAGGUGCUUUUUCACAGGUUCAGCUGGUGGAGUCCGGAGGGGGUGUGAAGAAACCCGGAGACUCUCUCCGCCUCUCCUGCAAAGCCUCCUGCUUCACCUUCAGCAGCUACUGGAUGCAAUGGGUCAGAGAGGCCCCUGGACAGGGACUGGAGUGGAUCAGGGAAAUACACCCAACUUCAACUACCAUCAACUACGCCCAGCCCUUCAAGGGACGCUUCACCAUCUCCAGGGACAACCCCAACAAUCUGCUGUAUCUGCAAAUGGCCGGCCUGAAGCCCGAGGACACCGCCCGGUACCACUGUGCAAGACACGCAGGCCCGCUCCCAGGUGGUUCUGACCCAGUCGGGGCCAGCGCUGAAGAAGGCCGGAGAGUCCCAUACGCUGCAAUGUGCCACCAGCGGGUUCGCUCUGAGCAGCGCCUGGAUGGGCUGGGUCAGACAGGAGCCGGGAAGGGGCUGGAGUGGCUGGUUGAGUAUUAUGAUGAGUCAGAAAACCAGCACAACGCCUCCUCCAUCCAGGGCCGAUUCACAGCCGCCAAGGACAGCACCAGCUUCUACCUGCACGUGAGCAGCCCGAGAGCGGAGGACACCGCCGUGUGUUAG